rnacentral:sRNA from 1 species
AUCCCAGGCCACACAGAGGCCGGCUUGGUCACUAUGGAGGAGAUAGGCAUCUUGGUGGAGAAGGCUCAGGAUGAGAUCCCAGCACUGUCCGUGUCCCGGCCCCAAACCGGCCUGUCCUUCCUGGGCCCUGAGCCUGAGGACCUGGAGGACCUGUACAGCCGCUACAAGAAGCUGCAGCAAGAGCUGGAGUUCCUGGAGGUGCAGGAGGAAUACAUCAAGGAUGAGCAAAAGAACCUGAAAAAGGAAUUUCUCCAUGCCCAGGAGGAGGUGAAGCGAAUCCAAAGCAUCCCGCUGGUCAUCGGACAAUUUCUGGAGGCUGUGGAUCAGAAUACAGCCAUUGUGGGCUCUACCACAGGCUCCAACUAUUAUGUGCGCAUCCUGAGCACCAUUGAUCGGGAGCUGCUCAAGCCCAACGCCUCAGUGGCCCUCCACAAGCACAGCAAUGCACUGGUGGACGUGCUGCCCCCCGAAGCCGACAGCAGCAUCAUGAUGCUCACCUCAGACCAGAAGCCAGAUGUGAUGUACGCGGACAUCGGAGGCAUGGACAUCCAGAAGCAGGAGGUGCGGGAGGCCGUGGAGCUCCCGCUCACGCAUUUCGAGCUCUACAAGCAGAUCGGCAUCGAUCCCCCCCGAGGCGUCCUCAUGUAUGGCCCACCUGGCUGCGGGAAGACCAUGUUGGCAAAGGCGGUGGCACAUCACACAACAGCUGCAUUCAUCCGGGUCGUGGGCUCGGAGUUCGUACAGAAGUACCUGGGUGAGGGCCCCCGCAUGGUCCGGGAUGUGUUCCGCCUGGCCAAGGAGAAUGCACCUGCCAUCAUCUUCAUAGACGAGAUUGAUGCCAUCGCCACCAAGAGAUUCGAUGCUCAGACAGGGGCCGACAGAGAGGUUCAGAGGAUCCUGCUGGAGCUGCUGAAUCAGAUGGAUGGAUUUGAUCAGAAUGUCAAUGUCAAGGUUUGGGGUUUGGGAUGGACAAGGGGAGGUGUGGUGUAGGAACUGGGGAAAGUUGGGGACUGGCACCUAAGGGGCGGUUAUCGUGACAGGAAGGAGGUAGGAGUGCAGAGAUCUGAGCUGGCCUGCCCCCCAAUGUCAGGUAAUCAUGGCCACAAACAGAGCAGACACCCUGGAUCCGGCCCUGCUACGGCCAGGACGGCUGGACCGUAAAAUUGAAUUUCCACUUCCUGACCGCCGCCAGAAGAGAUUGAUUUUCUCCACUAUCACUAGCAAGAUGAACCUCUCUGAGGAGGUUGACUUGGAAGAUUAUGUGGCCCGGCCAGAUAAGAUUUCAGGAGCUGAUAUCAAUUCCAUCUGUCAGGAGAGUGGAAUGUUGGCUGUCCGUGAAAACCGCUACAUUGUCCUGGCCAAGGACUUCGAGAAAGCAUACAAGACUGUCAUCAAGAAGGAUGAGCAGGAGCAUGAGUUUUACAAGUGACCCCUCUCUUCCCUCCACCACACCACUCAGGGGCUGGGGUUUCUCUCGCUCCCCCAGCACCUCUGUCCCUAAACCUCAUUCCCUUUUUUCUUUACCCAGGAUU